GUACAUAGAAUAUAAAAAUUUAAUUAAGACGAACAAAAACAGAAUUUAACAAAUUAUAACUGUAUAUAAAAAAUAUAGAUUGAAAAAUCAAUUCUAUUUCAUGGCUAUUGAAUUAGUUAACUCAUUGAUCUGAUCAACCGGAUACACCCUACAAUCUUGCACUAUAGCAGCGAAAUAGAUGCAACUCAAGUCUAAUCUCAUCCAGAGUUGACUACAUAAAAGUUCCAAUGAGCAAAGUUCUGGGAAAAAUAAAAGAAGUUGAUCCCACUAAAUACCCAAAAUGCUAACCAUAUACAUGCAACUAGGGCUGAGCAUUCGGUCGGUUCGGUUCAAAACCGAACCGAACCGAAAUAACCGAAAACCGAAUUAGACUUUUUUUUGAAACCGAACCGAACCGAAUUAGGAUUUUGAACCGAACCGAACCAACCGAAAUAUUUCGGUUCGGUUUCGGUUUCGGUUUGGAAAAACCGAAAUUUUUCAACAUCCUGUACAGUUUGCAGAUUACAGUUUGUAAUUAAAUGAUUUCAAUCAACCAAACUUCACUUGAUUCAUACAUCACUAAAUAUGACAAAUUAAAGUCGGAAAAUUUAAAGUUUACAUCAGAACAAAUAGAAUCUACCAAUUUGCAUUACAAAAUUAAGAAAAGUAUUAGCCGAAAUUGUAAGCUAAUUAAUUGAAGCUCGUCUUACAUAGUUAGAUUAGAGAUGCAGAAUACAAACCUGGAGUUUGAGUUGCUGCUUGCUGGAGAUGAUGAUUAAAAGAUGAGUUGCUGCUGGAGAUGAAGAUUCGUGUUACUGUGAUUGAGAUUCGUGUUACGAAUUACGAUAGAGACUAGAGUUUGGGUGGGGAGUGGAGACUAGAGCUUGUAUCGGAAACUCGGAGUCGGAGUUUGGAUGAGAGGAGAGUCGCCGCACGCAGUGGAAUUAGGACAUUAGAUUCUAUUUCUAGGGUUAUCUUAUCUGUAUUGUAUAUGAUAUAUCAGUAUGUAUGUAAUAUAUUAUAUAUUUAUUUUUUAUUUAAUAAAAACUUCGGUUAUUUCGGUUUGAACCGAAAUACUAUAUCAAAAACCGAACCGAACCGAAAUUCUUUUCGGUUCAAACCGAAAAACCGAAUUAACCGAAAUUUCCAGAAAAAUAAAACCGAACCGAACCGAAAUUAUACGGUUCGGUUCGGUUUUUCGGUUUCGGUUCGGUUUUGCUCACCCCUACAUGCAACUACAACAGAAGCUUCAAUGAAGAAUAAUUACAAGGCAACAAAAAAAUCUGUUUUACUUGUUCCUGUCCUAGAUAAAUGAGAAUUUUCCUGUCAUCAGCAUUUGUCGUGCCUUCAAUUUCAUUCUUUGUUCCGAGCUGCAC
rnacentral:lncRNA from 1 species